rnacentral:misc_RNA from 1 species
GGAUGACUAUGAAGAUGGUGAGGUUAGGGAACCACAACUGCAUGGUGUUGUAGAGAGUGCUAUAUGUGAGGAAAGAAAAGACUUUAGUCAUAGUGAUUCUGAUGGUAAAAAGGUGGAUUCUGCGGAGCUACAUGCUGAUGUUCAUCCUACUUCAUCCUAUGUUGAAGGAAAGAAAACUAAUGGAGAGGAACCUGUCGAGAUCAGUAAAGAUAGUGUUGAAGGAUGUACUGUCAUAAUUCUUGAUAGGAAACCCAUUGAUGUUGUUAAUAAAGAGGUUUCUGGGAAUGAACCAUCAGCAGUUGAGAUCUUGGUCAGUGGAGCUGAUAAAAGGAA